rnacentral:lncRNA from 1 species
UGAGCAAAUUUAUUUAUUUCAUUGAAAAAAAAUGUACUAAAAAGUAAGUCAUGACACAUAUUGUGGCAAAACAAGAUGAGUGAAAGUAUUAGUGUUGUAUGUGAGUAAGUCACACAGAGAGAGAGCAGAGAUAAAUCAAAUACAAUUGAUAUGCAACCUAAAAUAUUUUUAUUGUUAAAAAAUAAUUAGAGAUUAAUUUUGUAUAUUGCUAUUUUUUUCUUCUGUAUUUACCCCUUAUACAUGUCAGUGGUAGUGUAAUGGGGUCUGUAAAAUCGUGACUAUUGAAAAACAAAUAAAAGAUAAAUAAAAUCUGAAUGUACAUACAUGUAUCAUUUAUGUUUCUUUAUGUUGAUUUCCUUUUCACGUCACAAAGAAAAGCCUUUCCGUCCUUAUUAUUACAAACAAGCAGAAUAUUUUCAUUUUUGUCGAAAUAAAUUCCAUCCGGCUCAUACAAUCCAUCUGAUUUAGUAAGAGGUUCUUUAUGACGUUGACCAUCAUCUGAUACAACUUUUACAGUGUGUG